rnacentral:rRNA from 1 species
ACGAACGCUGGCGGCGUGCUUAACACAUGCAAGUCGAACGGAAAGGCCCCUUUGGGGGUACUCUAGUGGCGAACGGGUGAGUAACACGUGAGUAACCUGCCCUUGACUUCGGGAUAACUUCAGGAAACUGGGGCUAAUACCGUAUAGGAAUCCUUGCUGCAUGGUGGGGGUUGGAAAGCUUCGUCGGUUUUGGAUGGACUCACGGCUUAUCAGCUUGUUGGUGGGGUAGUGGCUUACCAAGGCUUUGACGGGUAGCCGGCCUGAGCGGGCGACCGGCCACAUUGGGGCUGAGAUACGGCCCAGAAUCCUACGGGAGGCAGCAGGGGGGAAUAUUGCACAAUGGGCGGAAGCCUGAUGCAGCAACGCCGCGUGCGGGAUGACGGCCUUCGGGUUGUAAACCGCUUUCAGCAGGGGCGAAGCUUGUGGUGACGGUACCUGCAGAAGAAGCACCGGCUAACUACGUG